rnacentral:ncRNA from 1 species
GGCAUGGUCCCGACCUUAUUAUCAGCUCUAACUCAACUUACACAUGCAAGUCUCCGCAACCCAGUGAAUAUGCCCUCAAUCCCCCCACCCGGGGACGAGGAGCGGGCAUCAGGCACAAACAUUAGCCCAAGACGCCUAGCCAAGCCACACCCCCAAGGGAAUUCAGCAGUGAUAAACAUUAAGCCAUAAGUGAAAACUUGACUCAGUUAGUGUUAAGAGGGCCGGUAAAACUCGUGCCAGCCACCGCGGUUAGACGAGAGGCCCUAGUUGAUAUUACAACGGCGUAAAGGGUGGUUAAGGAUAAACAAAAAUAAAGUCAAAUGGCCCCUUGGCCGUCAUACGCUUCUAGGAGUCCGAAGCCCUAAUACGAAAGUAACUUUAAUAAACCCACCUGACCCCACGAAAGCUGAGAAACAAACUGGGAUUAGAUACCCCACUAUGCUCAGCCGUAAACUCAGACAUCCAGCUACAAUUAGAUGUCCGCCAGGGUACUACGAGCAUUAGCUUAAAACCCAAAGGACCUGACGGUGUCUCAGACCCCCCUAGAGGAGCCUGUUCUAGAACCGAUAACCCCCGUUCAACCUCACCACUUCUAGCCACCCCAGCCUAUAUACCGCCGUCGUCAGCUUACCCUGUGAAGGUAAUAAAAGUAAGCAAAAUGGGCACAACCCAAAACGUCAGGUCGAGGUGUAGCGCAUGAAGUGGGAAGAAAUGGGCUACAUUUUCUAAUAUAGAAUAUUACGAACAUGCACCAUGAAACAAUGCUUGAAGGAGGAUUUAGUAGUAAAAGGGAAAUAGAGUGUCCCUUUGAACCCGGCUCUGAGACGCGUACACACCGCCCGUCACUCUCCCCUGUCAAAACGCACCAAAAAUACAUAAUACAACAGCACUGACAAGGGGAGGCAAGUCGUAACACGGUAAGUGUACCGGAAGGUGCACUUGGAUCAAAC